rnacentral:rRNA from 1 species
GUGGGGAAUUUUGGACAAUGGGCGCAAGCCUGAUCCAGCAAUGCCGCGUGCAGGAAGAAGGCCUUCGGGUUGUAAACUGCUUUUGUACGGAACGAAACGGUCCUGGUUAAUACCCGGGGCUAAUGACGGUACCGUAAGAAUAAGCACCGGCUAACUACGUGCCAGCAGCCGCGGUAAUACGUAGGGUGCAAGCGUUAAUCGGAAUUACUGGGCGUAAAGCGUGCGCAGGCGGUUAUGUAAGACAGUUGUGAAAUCCCCGGGCUCAACCUGGGAACUGCAUCUGUGACUGCAUAGCUAGAGUACGGUAGAGGGGGAUGGAAUUCCGCGUGUAGCAGUGAAAUGCGUAGAUAUGCGGAGGAACACCGAUGGCGAAGGCAAUCCCCUGGACCUGUACUGACGCUCAUGCACGAAAGCGUGGGGAGCAAACAGGAUUAGAAACCCGUGUAGUCC